rnacentral:rRNA from 1 species
UACGUAGGGUGCAAGCGUUGUCCGGAAUUAUUGGGCGUAAAGAGCUCGUAGGCGGCUUGUCGCGUCGUCUGUGAAAUCCCGCGGCUCAACCGCGGGUCUGCAGUCGAUACGGGCAGGCUAGAGUUCGGUAGGGGAGAUCGGAAUUCCUGGUGUAGCGGUGAAAUGCGCAGAUAUCAGGAGGAACACCGGUGGCGAAGGCGGAUCUCUGGGCCGAUACUGACGCUGAGGAGCGAAAGCGUGGGGAGCGAACAGG